UCUGCCCAGUAGUGGGGGAUAGCUCGGGGAAACUCGAAUUAAUACCGCAUACACCCUACGGGGAAAAGGGGGCGCUUGCGCUCUCGCUAUUGGAUGAGCCUAAGUCGGAUUAGCUAGUUGGUGGGGUAAAGGCCUACCAAGGCGACGAUCUGUAGCUGGUCUGAGAGGAUGAUCAGCCACACCGGGACUGAGACACGGCCCGGACUCCUACGGGAGGCAGCAGUGGGGAAUAUUGGACAAUGGGGGCAACCCUGAUCCAGCCAUGCCGCGUGUGUGAAGAAGGCCUUUUGGUUGUAAAGCACUUUAAGCAGUGAAGAAGACCUAACGGUUAAUACCCGUUAGCGAUGACAUUAGCUGCAGAAUAAGCACCGGCUAACUCUGUGCCAGCAGCCGCGGUAAUACAGAGGGUGCAAGCGUUAAUCGGAAUUACUGGGCGUAAAGCGAGCGUAGGUGGCUUGAUAAGUCAGAUGUGAAAUCCCCGGGCUUAACCUGGGAACUGCAUCUGAUACUGUUGGGCUAGAGUAGGUGAGAGGGAGGUAGAAUUUCAGGUGUAGCGGUGAAAUGCGUAGAGAUCUGAAGGAAUACCGAUGGCGAAGGCAGCCUCCUG
rnacentral:rRNA from 1 species